CUCAAUGGCCAUACCACCCUGAAAGCGCCCGAUCUCGUCUGAUCUCGGAAGCUAAGCAGGGACGGGCCUGGUUAGUACCUGGAUGGGAGACCGCCUGGGAAUACCAGGUGUUGUAGGCU
ensembl:rRNA 5S_rRNA 5S ribosomal RNA